rnacentral:rRNA from 1 species
GGCGCACGGGUGCGUAACGCGUAUGCAAUCUACCUUUCACAGAGGGAUAGCCCAGAGAAAUUUGGAUUAAUACCUCAUAGUAUAGCAGUUUCGCAUGAAACCACUAUUAAAGUCACAACGGUGAAAGAUGAGCAUGCGUCCCAUUAGCUAGUUGGUAAGGUAACGGCUUACCAAGGCAACGAUGGGUAGGGGUCCUGAGAGGGAGAUCCCCCACACUGGUACUGAGACACGGACCAGACUCCUACGGGAGGCAGCAGUGAGGAAUAUUGGACAAUGGGCGCAAGCCUGAUCCAGCCAUGCCGCGUGCAGGAUGACGGUCCUAUGGAUUGUAAACUGCUUUUAUACGAGAAGAAACCCUCCGACGUGUCGGAGCUUGACGGUAUCGUAAGAAUAAGGAUCGGCUAACUCCGUGCCAGCAGCCGCGGUAAUACGGAGGAUCCAAGCGUUAUCCGGAAUCAUUGGGUUUAAAGGGUCCGUAGGCGGUCAGGUAAGUCAGUGGUGAAAGCCCAUCGCUCAACGGUGGAACGGCCAUUGAUACUGUCUGACUUGAAUUAUUAGGAAGUAACUAGAAUAUGUAGUGUAGCGGUGAAAUGCUUAGAGAUUACAUGGAAUACCAAUUGCGA